AUAUGAGAUACUUACGUAAGAGGGGCUGGUGCAUUGUGGAAGUCAAUAAAUAAGUUUUGUUAAAUCUGAGUAAGAAGACCCGUUUGUUUCCUCAAAUUGCUUAUAAUCUAGGUGAGGACACAUCUGAGAGAAUAACUAAUAGUUCAGUGAAGAUUAGAAGGGUGUUACUGAUUCUUACCUCAGAGAAGAGAAUGUCAUGGAGACAAAAUGACCUGCUUAGAGUUCUGCGCCCCCCAGCAUGGAGAGCAGAGCGCAAAGAUUUCCUCCAGACUCCCACAUUCUCCCUUGGAAUCCAAGAACUUGUCUACUAUCACAACACUUUAGUACCCACUUCUCCUAAGGAGGCAGCAGAAACCAAGGUAAUCACAAUGGUCAACAGC
rnacentral:antisense_RNA from 1 species